rnacentral:rRNA from 1 species
GGGUCCUACGGGACGCAGCAGUGGGGAAUAUUGCACAGUGGGGGGAACCCUGAUGCAGCGACGCCGCGUGGGCGAGGAAGUAUUUCGGUAUGUAAAGCCCUAUCGGCAGGGAAGAAGAAAUGACGGUACCUGAAUAAGAAGCACCGGCUAAAUACGUGCCAGCAGCCGCGGGAAUACGUAUGGUGCAAGCGGUAUUCGGAUUUACUUGGCGUAAAGGGAGCGCAGGCGGCGCGCCAAGUC